rnacentral:rRNA from 1 species
GACGUAGGGGGCCAGCGUUGCUCGGAAUUACUGGGCGUAAAGGGUUCGUAGGCGGUGCGGCAAGUCGGACGUGAAAUCUCCAGGCUUAACUUGGAGGCUGCUCCCGAAACUGCCGUGCUAGAGUGCGGGAGAGGCGAGUGGAAUUGCAGGUGUAGCGGUGAAAUGCGUAGAUAUCUGCAGGAACACCCGUGGCGAAGGCGGCUCGCUGGACCGCAACUGACGCUGAGGAACGAAAGCUAGGGGAGCAAACAGG